rnacentral:rRNA from 1 species
GAGUUUGAUCCUGGCUCAGAUUGAACGCUGGCGGCAUGCCUUACACAUGCAAGUCGAGCGGCAGCGCGGGGGCAACCCUGGCGGCGAGCGGCGAACGGGUGAGUAAUGCAUCGGAACGUGUCCUCUUGUGGGGGAUAACCAGUCGAAAGACUGGCUAAUACCGCAUGAGCACGAGAGUGGAAAGCGGGGGACCGUAAGGCCUCGCGCGAGAGGAGCGGCCGAUGCCGGAUUAGCUAGUUGGUGGGGUAAAAGCCUACCAAGGCGACGAUCCGUAGCUGGUCUGAGAGGACGACCAGCCACACUGGGACUGAGACACGGCCCAGACUCCUACGGGAGGCAGCAGUGGGGAAUUUUGGACAAUGGGGGCAACCCUGAUCCAGCCAUGCCGCGUGUGUGAAGAAGGCCUCGGUUGUAA